AGAGACAGCAGUAGCCACGGGAAUACGAAGGGGGCUAGCGUUGUUCGGAAUUACUGGGCGUAAAGCGCACGUAGGCGGACAUUUAAGUCAGGGGUGAAAUCCCGGGGCUCAACCUCGGAACUGCCUUUGAUACUGGGUGUCUUGAGUGUGGAAGAGGUAAGUGGAAUUGCGAGUGUAGAGGUGAAAUUCGUAGAUAUUCGCAGGAACACCAGUGGCGAAGGCGGCUUACUGGUCCACAACUGACGCUGAGGUGCGAAAGCGUGGGGAGCAAACAGGAUUAGAGACCCCUGUAGUCCCUGUCUCUUAUAC
rnacentral:rRNA from 1 species